rnacentral:misc_RNA from 1 species
UACAGGUUGAGCAACUCAAAGCGAAGGCCAGAGUGGUAUAUUCCAGUGGAUGAAGAGGAAGAGCGAAGGAGAUGGAGCUAAGUAACGAGUGAAUGUUGACCUUCAAAAGUGUUGUUUAUGCAGGGUUUAGGCCUCUCAUGGAGCAUGCUUGUGUUGCACCAGGGAUCUGGCUUGAAGUUUACCUCAUUUUCUUUAAUUUCAAGGAAUUGAACUCUCACUUGUCAACCUCUUAAAAGCUACAAUGUCUAGGUUUGAUAGGUUGUACUAUCAAUUAGAAUAACAGGAUUAGAUUUAGCAAAAAUUUUUAGGGGUUGAUAAUUUUGAAUUACUUGGUUUUUAAUCACUUGUUGAUGCUCAAGUGGUUUAAUAACUAAAUUAAAAACGUUGAAUCUUUGAUAUGUUGGAAUAGAAGCUUGCCACUGUAAUUGCAAUGCAAUUGAUGUUGACAACAUCUCCCUGUGCUUGCAACAAGUUGGACUUUGAGUUUGGGAAGCAAAGGUAAAUAAAGCGUGUUUGACAUUGAGGUUGGAAGGUG